UUAGGUAUAGUAUAAGAAAUACUUUUCGCUUACAACGAAAAAAUCCAAAGGGUACUUAAU
rnacentral:tRNA from 1 species